rnacentral:lncRNA from 1 species
GUUAUGAAUGCCAACUCAUUCACCAAAGUUGUGAAAUAAUGCAUUCACCAUGCAUUUCACAUGAAAGCCACUUCUUCACAAAAAUUUUGGGAUAAUACAUUCACAACGCAUAUGCAAUUCACAUAAGUGCCUCAUGAUUCAUAAAACUUGUGAAAUAUAAUAAUAUCACCACAAUCAUAUUUCACAUCAUCAAAACACAAAAAUAUAUCUAUAUUCACUCUCCUACCAGUGAGAGAUUCAUAAUACAUGUGUAUUUCACAUUAAUGUCACAUUAAUCAUAGAAAUAAUGAAUAAUGCAAUAUCAAUGCAAACCAUAAUUCACAUAGCACAAAUUAUGAAAUAAUGCAUCCACAUUGCAUAUCAUAUUUUACAGCAAUAAGAAUUCAAGAAUAUAACAAAUUGGAAAAUAUGAUCAUUUGCUCUGAUACCAAUUUGUAACAAUCCAAAAUUUCUAAUUCGGAAGCUAAUUACUAAGAUAGGCCCAAAUUUAUUUUUCUUAGCCAGAUUUCAAGAAAAGAAUAAUCUCAGUUAUUUUAUUAUGGCUACAUCUAACCUCGUUAGACUGUCUACGUGCCAUACGAAGGAAUCAAGUCAUUCGUAGUUCACCAAUUCAAUUUCUAAUUGAUUUCUAAAAAUCAUUCAAGUGACUAACAAUCACUAAUUAGGUUCAAACAAGUGAAUCACACCAAAUGAAUUUCAAAUAUGGAUUCAGAAUGUCAAAAUUAGUUUAAAAGGGCAACCUCUGCCCUCUCGCCACGCGCCGACGUGCGUGACGGUUUCCGGCGAAAGCAAACCCCAAAUUCCGACGAAUUCUAAAAAUUACCAAAUUUUACAUGGUUGUAGAGUUCAAUGAGAAUAACAACUUUCAUCCCUGGGCCGAAGUCCAAUUCGGCCGGGAAACACCUCAAAUCGGCCUCGAAUCGUCGGAAACCCUAGAAAAUGGUGUUCUCGAUUCGCCACCUCCGAUGCCCCGGCGUCCCAACCAAGGCUUGGCCUUUGUUCCUAAGGUUGAGAGAAGA